UACGGAGGAGGGAAGCGUUAUCCGGGAUUAUGGGGCGUAAAACGUCCGUAGGUGGUUGACCAAGUCUGCUGUCAAAGGGUGGGGCUUAACCUCAUAAAGGCAGUGGAAAAUGGUGAGCUAGAGUGCGGUAGGUGUAAGGGGAAUUCCCAGUGUAGCGGUGAAAUGCGUAGAGAUUAGGAAGAACAUCGGUGGCGAAAGCGACUUGCGAGGCCUGCACUGACACUGAGUAACCAAAGCUAGGGGAGCGAAUGGG
rnacentral:rRNA from 1 species